rnacentral:lncRNA from 1 species
ACAACAAGAAGAAGAAGAACAAUAAAAGAACAAUACAAUAUUUAAAAAUAAAAACAAUUUUAACCAACAUACAUUUAUCAGGAUUUCAAUGGGAAGCGUGGUCCUGCUUCUGGCCAAUGAGAUAGUCAAGUUAAUUAGGAUUGUUGUUGUUGUUUUUGCACUACAAAUAAGACAUGUGCAGUGUGCAUAGGAAUUUGUUCGUAUUUUUUUUCAAAUGAUAAUUUGGCCCCUCCACAGUCUGAAGGAUUGUAAACCGGCCCUUUGCUUUAAAAGUUUGAGGACCCCUGGUCUGGGUGAUAAAACAAGUUAUAAAUGAUUUGCACAUCCAGUCCCAAAUGGAUUUCCUCAAAGCUGGAGUUCUUUCUAUGCUAGAAGGAGCAUUUUUCCCUCUCCCAUGUUGAGCGUGUAAGCCGGCACACUGAUCCAAAGAGAGAACUCAAUCUGUGAUAAUCAGCUCAUUGGUAUUCGUCUUAUGGAGGCAUGACAUCCUCUGUCGCUGU